rnacentral:rRNA from 1 species
CCUACGGGGGGCUGCAGUGGGGAAUAUUGGACAAUGGGGGGAACCCUGAUCCAGCCAUGCCGCGUGUGAGAAGAAGGCCCUCGGGUUGUAAAGCACUUUCAGUGAGGAAGAACGCCUGGUGGUUAAUACCCAUCAGGAAAGACAUCACUCACAGAAGAAGCACCGGCUAACUCCGUGCCAGCAGCCGCGGUAAUACGGAGGGUGCGAGCGUUAAUCGGAAUUACUGGGCGUAAAGCGCGCGUAGGUGGCUUGAUAAGCCGGUUGUGAAAGCCCCGGGCUCAACCUGGGAACGGCAUCCGGAACUGUCAAGCUAGAGUGCAGGAGAGGAAGGUAGAAUUCCCGGUGUAGCGGUGAAAUGCGUAGAGAUCGGGAGGAAUACCAGUGGCGAAGGCGGCCUUCUGGACUGACACUGACACUGAGGUGCGAAAGCGUGGGUAGCAAACAGGAUUAGAUACCCCUGUAGUC